ACUGCUCAGUAACACGUGGACAACCUGCCCUUAGGACGGGUAUAAACCCGGGAAACUGGGUAUAAUUCCCGAUAGGUCUCGUCUGCUGGAAUGCAUCGAGAUCCAAAGCUCCGGCGCCUAAGGAUGGGUCUGCGGCCUAUCAGGUAGUAGUGGGUGUAGCGUACCUACUAGCCUACGACGGGUACGGGUUGUGAGAGCAAGAGCCCGGAGAUGGAUUCUGAGACACGAAUCCAGGCCCUACGGGGUGCAGCAGGCGCGAAAACUUUACAAUGCUGGGAACAGCGAUAAGGGAACCUCGAGUGCCAGGUUACAAAUCCGUCUGUCGUGAUGCCUAAAAAGCAUUAUAUAGCAAGGGCCGGGCAAGACCCGUGCCAGCCGCCGCGGUAACACCGGCGGCUCGAGUGGUAACCGUUAUUAUUGGGCCUAAAGGGUCUGUAGCCGGCCGGAUAAGUCUCUUGGGAAAUCUGGCAGCUCAACUGUCAGGCUUUCAGGGGAUACUGUCUGGCUCGAGGCCGGGAGAGGUGAGAGGUACUUCAGGGGUAGGGGUGAAAUCUUGUAUUCCUUGAAGGACCACCAGUGGCGAAGGCGUCUCACCAGAACGGACCUGACGGCAAGGGACGAAAGCUAGGGGCACGAACCGGAUUAGAUACCCGGGUAGUCCUAGCCGUAAACGAUACUCGCUAGGUGUCGGCCACGGUGCGACCGUUGUCGGUGCCGUAGGGAAGCCGUGAAGCGAGCCACCUGGGAAGUACGGCCGCAAGGCUGAAACUUAAAGGAAUUGGCGGGGGAG
rnacentral:rRNA from 1 species